rnacentral:lncRNA from 1 species
CGCAUAUCAAAGCAGGAAGGCGACACACAAGUGAGUGAACUUGUUCAGACAGUGUCAGUACAGUCAGUUGUUAAAACUACAGACAUGGAUCCAAACGUGCGCAAUACAGUGAUGCAACUUCAGAUAGCGUUGGUAAAUGAAACUUGUUUAAAGAUCUGGUAUGAAGAAGAGUAUGAGAAUUUAUUUUCUGAAUUCCAAGUUGAGAUGAUGAAGCUGAAAAAUGAGAACCAGAGUAUUAGAGAACAGUUGUAUAAUCUCCAGCAUCAGUCGGAUGCUACAAACGUUAGCGUCUCAUCACAGCCUGGAACUGAGAAGCAACGUAAUGAAGAGAUUGUGAAACUUCAGGAGCGAAUAAGAGAUCUGGAGUUGGACCUGAAGGAGGAAAAGAAAGCAGGGGAAGCCUCCAAAAAGCAAGUGGAAAUGCUCCGAGAAAAUGAAGUCGUGCUGACUUCUAUGAGUGAAAACUCUGAAGAGAUAAAUCAGCAGCUACAAGAAGAUAGAAAUAAUUUAAUUCAAGAAAAUGCAACACUUGUUGCUGUGAUGGAGAAAAUGAAAGAUCAGGUCAACGAAAAACAUUUUGUGAUUAAAAAUCUAAAGAAGGAACUGUAUGAUCUUCAGAGUGAAAUGGAUGAACAAACCAAUCCCUUUCCUCUAGAGAUCCAACAUGAGAAAAUCAGGAAAGAGUUCAACAAACUUUACUGGCAAAAUAAAGAAUUGGAGUCGGAACUUGAAGUAGAAAAGCAAAAACUACAAGCUGCAUUGGAGCUGUAUGAAAAAGCUCAGGAUGAGCUCCGUUUGAUGCAAAGCUCCACGAGGGGAACCUUUAAUUCAGGAAUUGAGCAGCUGCAAGAGGAUCACAAUGUUCUAGUUCAAGAAAACAAUUCACUUGUUGCUGAGAUCAAGGUAAUUAAAGAUCAGAUGCGUGGAAAGGAUUUAGAGAUUCAAAGUCUCCACCAGCAACUGAGUGAUGUAGAACAAAGGAUGAAGAACCCAGAAGAACAGCCUCCUGAAGACAAUGUCCCAGUGACAAAGGAUGGAUGUGAGCAUGACCAUGCACAUGUUCCCUCAGGUGAACCUGUGGAGCUGCAGGCUGGGACCAACUCUAGCUCUACUGCGGGCCACAGGCAGGAGGCUUCUGGUCCCGCUGUGCACACACUCUACGUUCAAGCCGUGUUGGUGUUGCAGCAGCCAGGUUAUUUGGUUAUUUGAGCUCUCUUUUUAGAAACCUGUUUCAUCAUUAGUAACCGUGACAAAAUUAACACGGUGCCAGAUUCUGCAGAGCUUGAUUAACCAGAAUGUUUGUUUUUUCUUAUUGAGAACUAUUCUGGUUUCCAGUUCAAAUCUGACCAGUAGAAUAGACAGUACAUGCUUUUUUCCUCACAGGGCUGAGAGGAGCCAGCUGAAGUUUUUAGUGUAUUGUUCUGUCAUUUAGUGUGCAUUUGGAGUCAUUUCAUACCCCA